AUUGAACGCUAGCGGCAGGCCUAACACAUGCAAGUCGAGCGAGCGGCGGACGGGUGAGUAAUGUAUGGGGACUGCCCGAUAGAGGGGGAUAACUACUGGAAACGGUAGCUAAUACCGCAUACUAUCGGAUAACCCAUAUGGGAUUAGCUAGUUGGUGAGGUAAUGGCUCACCAAGGCGACGAUCCCUAGCUGGUCUGAGAGGAUGAUCAGCCACACUGUGAAGGAGACACGGCCCAGAAUCCUACGGAGGCAGCAGUGGGGAAUAUGGCCCCAUGGGCGCAAGCCGGAUGCAGCCGUGCCUCGUGUAGGAAGAAGGCCUUCGGGUUGUAAAGUACUUUCAGUCGGGAGGCGUUACCGACAGAAGAAGCACCGGCUAACUCCGUGCCAGCCGCCGCGGUAAUUC
rnacentral:rRNA from 1 species